rnacentral:rRNA from 1 species
GAGUACUACGUCGGCGCGAUCAACCGGGUGGGCAUCGAGCCGCUAGGCGACGAUGACUUCUACGGACAGUCCUACUUCGUAGACCCCGAAGGCAACUACGUUGGAGACAAGGCCGAUCCGUACAAGUCCGAGCUCAUCGUGCGUGAUCUGGACUUGGAUCUGAUCACUACCGUGCGCAACCGGUGGGCGUUCUACCGCGA